rnacentral:rRNA from 1 species
GGCCAUGGCCCAGGUGAGACGCCCGGUCCCAUUCCGAACCCGGAAGCUAAGGCCUGGCACGGCGAUGGUACUGCACCCGACAGGGUGUGGGAGAGUAGCACGCCGCCGCAU